rnacentral:rRNA from 1 species
AACGUAGGUCACAAGCGUUGUCCGGAAUUACUGGGUGUAAAGGGAGCGCAGGCGGGAGAACAAGUUGGAAGUGAAAUCCAUGGGCUCAACCCAUGAACUGCUUUCAAAACUGUUUUUCUUGAGUAGUGCAGAGGUAGGCGGAAUUCCCGGUGUAGCGGUGGAAUGCGUAGAUAUCGGGAGGAACACCAGUGGCGAAGACGGCCUACUGGGCACCAACUGACGCUGAGGCUCGAAAGUGUGGGUAGCAAACAGG